UGGCUGAUAUUCCUACAAUGA
rnacentral:piRNA from 1 species